GACAGGGGGCUCGAGCGUUAAUCGGAAUCACUGGGCUUAAAGGGUGCGUAGGCGGGCCAGUAAGCGCUUUGUGAAAUCCCACGGCUCAACCGUGGAACCGCAGGGCGAACUGCUGGUCUUGAGGAAGCUAGAGGCGGGUAGAACGAUAGGUGGAGCGGUGGAAUGCGUAGAGAUCUAUCGGAAUGCCGAAAGUGAAGACAGCCCGCUGGGGCUUUCCUGACGCUAAAGCACGAAAGCGUGGGGAGCAAACCGG
rnacentral:rRNA from 1 species